rnacentral:tRNA from 1 species
AAAAACUUAGUUAAAUUAUAACAUUAAUUUGUCAAAUUAAAAUUAACCAGAUUUAGUUUUUA